GCCGGGAGUCGGGCGGACGCAGUCUUCGCCAACCCGGUCAGGUCCGGAAGGAAGCAGCCGCAACGAAUUCGCUGCGGGUCGUUCCGGCUCCCACCCAUU
rnacentral:SRP_RNA from 1 species